UACAAUUCAGCAAAGUAGCAACUAAUUAAAGAGGUUACAUGAACUUAUUGAACUUGUUGGCAAGAUCAAAUCAACUUUAAGGAUCUGGUAAAUUUGUAUUCCCACUUAAAUUAAAUUUUAUAACUUAUCAUUUCUAUGUUGAGUGCUUUUUUAUUAACACAUAAUUAUGAUUCUCCAGCCAUGAAUAUAGGAUAGCUAUGUGAUCCUCCUGGAAUACAUUCACAACAAGAUCCAAACAAAUAUGCAUAGAUAAAAUGAAUAUGUUCCAUUUGAGUAGGGAUGUCAAAUAACUGUUUUCACAAUUUUAAUUUUCCAUG
rnacentral:lncRNA from 1 species